rnacentral:rRNA from 1 species
AUUGAACGCUGGCGGCAGGCCUAACACAUGCAAGUCGAGCGAGAAAGGCCCUUCGGGGCUGAGUAGAGCGGCGGACGGGUGAGUAACGCGUAGGAAUCUACCCAGUGGUGGGGGACAACUUGGGGAAACUCAAGCUAAUACCGCAUACGCCCUACGGGGGAAAGCGGGGGACCUUCGGGCCUCGCGCCAUUGGAUGAGCCUGCGUUGGAUUAGCUAGUUGGUGGGGUAAAGGCCCACCAAGGCGACGAUCCAUAGCUGGUCUGAGAGGAUGAUCAGCCACACUGGGACUGAGACACGGCCCAGACUCCUACGGGAGGCAGCAGUGGGGAAUAUUGCGCAAUGGAGGAAACUCUGACGCAGCCAUGCCGCGUGUGUGAAGAAGGCCUUCGGGUUGUAAAGCACUUUCACUUGGGAAGAAAAGCUCAUCGUUAAUAGCGGUGAGCCGUGACAUUACCUUGAGAAGAAGCACCGGCUAACUCCGUG